rnacentral:rRNA from 1 species
GAAUUGUUCACAAUGGGCGCAAGCCUGAUGACGCAAUGCCGCGUGGAGGAUGAAGGUCUUCGGAUUGUAAACUCCUGUUGCCAGGGACGAAUGGCUCCGACCUAAUACGUCGGAGAAUGACGGUACCGGGUGAGGAAGCACCGGCUAACUCUGUGCCAGCAGCCGCGGUAAUACAGAGGGUGCGAGCGUUGUCCGGAAUCACUGGGCGUAAAGGGCGCGUAGGUGGCCCGACAAGUCAAUGGUGAAAGCUCGACGCUUAACGUCGAGUCGGCCACUGAUACUGUUGGGCUGGAGCACUGUAGAGGCUCAUGGAAUUCCGGGUGUAGCGGUGGAAUGCGUAGAGAUCCGGAAGAACACCGGUGGCGAAGGCGGUGAGCUGGGCAGUUGCUGACACUGAGGCGCGACAGCGUGGGGAGCAAAC